CUUUAGAUUUCUUUUCCUUGGAUUUUUGGCCUUUGUUAGCUUUCUUUCCAUCCGUUCCUUUCUUCUUAUCACCAUCACUAUCUGAAUGGGAUGACGAAGAUUCAUCAGACGAUGAAUCAUCAUCUUGAUCGCUCCAUGGCAUUGGCCUCUUCAUGGCACAGUAUAAAUGUAUAGCCCUGGAAACUGCUGCACCGGAUCGACAGAGGAGGGCUUUAGGGUUUCUGCUUUGCGAGGCAAUGCCUCCAGGCGCGAGAGAG
rnacentral:misc_RNA from 1 species